AUUGAACGCUGGCGGCAUGCCUAACACAUGCAAGUCGAACGGAGCGUCGGACGGGUGCGUAAUGCUUAGGCAUCUUCCUGGUAGCGGUGGAUAACGUCUGGCAACGGGCGCUAAUACCGCAUACUAUCAGAUGAGCUUAGGUCUGAUACGCUAGUUGGUGGGGUAAAGGCCUACCAGGGGGACGAUCCGUAACUGGUCUGAGAGGAUGAUCAGUCACACUGGAACUAGGACAUGGUCCAAACUCCUACGGGAGGAAGAAGGGGGAAAUAUUGGACAAGGAGCGAAGGCCGGAGCAGACCAGGCGGCGUGUGUGAGGAGGGUCUUCGGAUUGUAAGGCACUUUAAGUUGGAAGACGUUACCAACAGAAUAAGCACCGGCUAACUUCGUGCCAGCAGCCGCGGUAAUAC
rnacentral:rRNA from 1 species